UCUCUUUCCUGAUGACUUGCACUGGGCUCUGACCUCUUAUGGAGACUACGUGCAUCUUUGGCCCUGACAAGCCAACGUGUCUGAAAAGAAA